AGGACGAACGCUGGCGGCGUGCCUAACACAUGCAAGUCGAACGCGCUCCAUUCGGUAGCAAUACUGAUGAAGAGCGAGUGGCGAACGGGUGAGUAGCACGUGAGCAACCUGCCCCGAAGACCGGGACAACACCGGGAAACCGGUGCUAAUACCGGAUAUCCCUAUCGGACCGCAUGAUCUGAUAAGGAAAUGGAUUCCGCUUCGGGAGGGGCUCGCGGCCUAUCAGCUAGUUGGUGAGGUAACGGCCCACCAAGGCAUCGACGGGUAGCUGGUCUGAGAGGACGAUCAGCCACACUGGGACUGAGACACGGCCCAGACUCCUACGGGAGGCAGCAGUGGGGAAUCUUGCGCAAUGGGCGAAAGCCUGACGCAGCAACGCCGCGUGGAGGACGAAGGCUUUCUGAGUUGUAAACUCCUUUCAGCAGGGACGAUAGUGACGGUACCUGCAGAGAAGCACCGGCCAACUACGCGCCAGCAGCCG
rnacentral:rRNA from 1 species